GACGAACGCUGACGGCGUGCUUAACACAUGCAAGUCGAACGGUAAGGCCCUUCGGGGUACACGAGUGGCGAACGGGUGAGUAACACGUGGGUGAUCUGCCCUGCACUUCGGGAUAAGCCUGGGAAACUGGGUCUAAUACCGGAUAGGACUCCGGACUGCAUGGUCUGGGGUGGAAAGCUUUUGCGGUGUGGGAUGGGCCCGCGGCCUAUCAGCUUGUUGGUGGGGUGAUGGCCUACCAAGGCGACGACGGGUAGCCGGCCUGAGGGGGUGACCGGCCACACUGGGACUGAGAUACGGCCCAGACUCAUACGGGAGGCAGCAGUGGGGAAUAUUGCACAAUGGGCGCAAGCCUGAUGCAGGGACGCCGCGUGAGGGAUGACGGCCUUCGGGUUGUAAACCUCUUUCAGCAUCGACGAAGCGAAAGUGACGGUAGGUGCAGAAGAAGGACCGGCCAACUACGUGCCAGCCGCCGCCGUAA
rnacentral:rRNA from 1 species